rnacentral:rRNA from 1 species
GAGUUUGAUCGUGGCUCAGGACGAACGCUGGCGGCGUGCCUAACACAUGCAAGUCGAGCGGAGACAGUGAGUAGCUUGCUAUGAGCUGUUUUAGCGGCGGACGGGUGAGUAACGCGUGAGCAACCUUUCCCAGACAGGGGAAUAACACACCGAAAGGUGUACUAAUACCGCAUAAGACCACGGGAUCACAUGGUUCUGGGGUAAAAGAUUUAUCGGUUUGGGGUGGGCUCGCGUCCGAUUAGGUAGUUGGUGAGGUAACGGCCCACCAAGCCGACGAUCGGUAGCCGACCUGAGAGGGUGAUCGGCCACAUUGGGACUGAGACACGGCCCAAACUCCUACGGGAGGCAGCAGUGGGGAAUAUUGGGCAAUGGGGGGAACCCUGACCCAGCAACGCCGCGUGGAGGAAGAAGGUUUUCGGAUCGUAAACUCCUGUCCUUGGAGACGAGUAGAAGACGGUAUCCAAGGAGGAAGCCCCGGCUAACUACGUGACAGCCGCCGCCGUAAU